GUCAGCAUGCCCCUUACCCCUGGGCACACACGUGCUACAAUGGGCGAGACAAUUAGAUACAAAUCUGCGAAAGCCUAGCUAAUCUAAAACCUCGUUCUAAGUUCGGAUUGUAGGCUGCAACUCGCCUGCAUGAAGUUGGAAUCGCUAGUAAUCGCUGGUCAGCUACACAGCGGUGAAUUCGUUCCCGGGCCUUGUACACACCGCCCGUCACACCAUGGAAGCUGGUUAUGCCCAAAGUCGUCACUCUAACCUUUUUGGAGGAGGAUGCCUAAGGUAGAAUUAGUGACUAGGGUG
rnacentral:rRNA from 1 species